ACUUCUCUUUCAAAGAUGGACUGGGGAAAGACAUUAAGUUCGGAGCAGCCCAAGGCUGCGGAUCUAGCCUUUCUCCCUCCGGUCUCCAGACCCACGCAGGUUAAGGCAGCCAAGCAGAGACAGCGGAGCCCCGGUGCGUGGUUCAGGCCUGGUCAACAGGUAGGAGGGCCAGACUGGGGGCCAGGCACAGAGGAGGGCAGGCCCGCCCGCACCGGCGUCCAGGGUCCCGGGUUCCGGGUCCCGGGACUGGAGGAGGUCGCCGGCAGCCCGCCCUUCCAGAGGCUUGAGAUUGGGUGGACGAGACCUGAAGAUCCUCUCGGUCUGGACCCCGACUUUCGAUCUGCUUAGAGACCUAAGCCGCGAGCCUUUGCCCACACGGAGAAACGUACUAUCUAAUAUCUAACAACCCUGUACUGCAGUGUCUGGAGGUUGCGGGAAGGAGACAGUGUCUCCCUUUGGGAAAACUACUGAGGACUUCUGUAUAUCCUACUUCUUCUGGACUCCAUAAGUUACAGGACCGAAGGAAACUGAGAAAUAGAGAAAAGGUGCCGCUUGCCCCUUUAACUCCAGAAAAGGGUGGCUGCAGAUGGAGCAGCUUGGACUUUAUUUUUUACGUUGCGCGAAGCCCGCCGGCAGCGGCUUAUGCCAAUUGAUUUUCCCAGCUCCCAGCCCUGGAUGUCUAGCUAUCUCCAGGACAGUUUGUUUUUUUCUUUUUCUGUCUUUCUUUCUUUCCUUCAAUGUAUCAGAAGACCUGAAGCUCGCUGCCCGCGAGUUUCCUCCGAGUUCCCAGGUCAGCGGCGUUUGCGCUCCUCUCCCCCUCCUUUUCCCAGCCCGUUGCGCUUAAGUUCUUGAGUCUGGGGAGCCGGUUCAGUAACUCUGAAUUCAUUUUUAAGUGGCGUGCCCUGUUCCCCACCUUUUAACAAGAGGUGCACUUUAACACGCGAACCAGUAACACGAUCUACACGUUUACAAAUCGGCAAUGAAUUAAAACAACAACAGAAAAGCUUCAUGGAAAAAGAAAGACAGAGUCUUGCUCUAUUGCCCAGGCUGCAACUGGUGUGAUCUCGGCUCACUACAACCUCUGCCUCCUGGGUUCAAGCGAUUCUCCUGCCUCAAGCUCCCAAGUAGCUGGGAUUACAAGCAUGCACCACCAUGCCUGGCUAAUUUUUGUAUUUUUAGUGGAGACGGGGUUUCGCCACAUUGGCCAGGGUGGUCUUGAACUCCUGACCUCAAGUGAUCCACCUGCCUUGGCCUCCCAAAGUGCUGGGAUUAUAAGCAUGAGCCACUGCACCCAGCCUUAUACUGAACUUUCAAUGGGUUCAAUUCCACUAGGAGCAUAAAGGCCACUGCAUAUGAGUUGUGGAAAGAAGAGAUUAGAAGAAGGAAGAACUUGAGAUGAGUUCCUCCCUUCAACAUUCUGUCUCCUCCUACCUAGCAUCUUCUUUCUUUUAGUCUUUCUAGAAUGUCCAUCUGUUUUUGGCCAUUGCGGAGAGAGAAGCUGAGCUUUAAAGGAGUAGGAGCUUCAAAGGCGUAGGAGCUUCAAAAUUCUUGUUUCUUCAUGUUUGAUCACCCUUCUAAACCUGUCUUCUGUUCCUUCUGCUAUUCUUUUUUCUUAGAGCAUAGGAAAGGGGAGCUUUUAAAUUAAUACUUAAAGCAUGGAAAAAAAGAACUUGAGAAGAAAGUAAAACAAGGGAGAUGAGGCUAGUAAAGUAAGGAAAAUGAAGAGGAAGAGGAGGAAGGGUUAGCUUCUAAAUUCCAAGUCAAAUUGAUAUGGAACAGGCAAGCCGCUUGUCUUACUUAAACUUCAGAAAAGGAUCUGCUGAAACUUGAUAGAAAUGGAAAGGGAAAUCCUUGGGGUGGGGAACCUCCAAACAUUAGUAAUGAUAUUGAACAACUCAAAGUAUUGAGGAAAUCUGCAGGCUACAUGCCUGAAGAUUACCCAUGCAGAUAGACCAAAAGGAUUAGAAUUAUCUGUUGAUAUUAGUAAUAUUUAUUGACAUCUAGCUAGUAUUGGUAAUUUUAAGUUUUAGAUUAAUUUCUUUGGUAAUAGCUAUGAUAUAUUUUAUAGACAAGAAUUAUAUCUAUAGGCUUGCUAUCAUAGGCUCUUUUAAUCAGCAUUAAUUUAGUCUACUGAUUUUUAGCACAUUUGAAUCAUUCACUUAUGCUAGGUAACUCAUUGCAAAAUAAAAAGAUGAUUCCUGUAUGUAUGGCAGCUAUACAUUAAGGAGGAGUCUACCAGAAUAUGAAAAAGUCAGCUGACCUAAAUAUUGCUGAGACAAAGGAAAACCCACUCCCUUGGAGGAGCAUGACCUUUUCCUGUAAUUCUUCCCACUGCUGUUGUUGAGCUCCUUGGAUCCUGGCUCCUGGACACCAUCAUCAAGAAGACUUUAUGGAUGGGCUGUCCACCCACUGAGAGAAGAGGAGCAUCAGCUACAGUUUCUCUCUAGAUUGCCUUCUUCAUUUUGAGUAAUGACUGUCAGCAGGGUCAGAUUAAACACAAAACAACUGGACAAUUGCUUGGAGGACUAAACUAUAAGGGCACUAACAUGUCAAUAGUAGGCUAACACAUCCAUGGAAAAUAUAUUUACCAGCUCUUCUCUCAGGGAGGAUUCUGUGUGGGGUUGGAAGUAAUGAUUUGUUAAAUUCCUUAGGGGUAGAAAGUAGGGCAUAAUCAGAAUAUAGAGGAAUAUGCUGUUUGACUUCAGGGUUUCUGUUUUUCUUACUAGGAUAUAUAAAACAGGGACUCUAGCUAGAUUGUUUAUGACCACAGAGGGUAGGCUGAGUGCUCCCAUGAUCUUCCUGCUUGGUUCUUGCCCAUACAGAGGUCAGCCUUUCCUCUAAUAAAGAUUGAACAAGUAGUGGUCUGAGGGAGACACCAAUUCAUUACCCUACAUGUCUCUUCUCUGCACUCCAGGGCUUUGAUAAUAAAGACACUGGCAGACUAUCUAUCUUCCAUUUCUAUAAUGUGAGCCCUUAGGGAGUCUUCGUUCACUUGGGGGUGAGGGUCAUUGCUCACAGAGUAGUUCAAGUCAAAUGGAACUUGAACUCUUUGCCUAUGGGCCUGGUGGUCAGACUCUGUGUUGAGUUCAUUAGAUUAUUGGAGACACAAGGUAGAGCUGGAUGCUUCAAAAAUAUUUGGCUAAAGGAUGACAUUGCUGGUUAUUUGUAGAUAAAGCCAUGAUGGAACCUGCUUGGAAUCAUGAAAUAUGGAACUGGUGGUCAUGUUUAAAAAUACAACUAAUAGUUAAGUACCUACUGGACACUGUAGAGACUUAGGGGCUAGACAGACAUGGUUCCUGCCCCCUUGGAGCUUACACUGUAGCUUCCCCUUAGGUAUGAAGAACAGUGGCUACAACUAACAAAUGGCCACAAAGAUAUAAUUGAGCCAGUGUUCCAAUUAUUAGGGUAAUUCCUAUUUCCUUAAUCAUUCCUAUUGACCAUGUUCUAUAAGCCUGCAUUCUAUAAAUGGCGUAUGACCAUGGGCUGUUUCCCCCCAGCAAGUUGUACAAAGUUCUGUGGUACCAGGGAAAGGGCUUAAGGUUAGCAGGGCCUCUGCGGAAGGACAUAUGAAGUGACUUGGGUUAGGAAACAGGAAGGGAUAGGAUUCAAGAACAGCUAUUGCUUCUGUUCUAUAUAGGAAACUGCAGCGUGAAAAAUGCUGGGCUGGGAAUUUUGAGACCUGGGUUUUAGUUUGUGUUCUAAUACUAACAAGCUAUGUGACUGUGGGUAAGUCAUUUCACAUUCCAUUUGGAUGCCUCUUGAGUGACUCCAGGCCUCUCCAGCUCUAAAACAUUAAGAUCAGGCCCUACGCUACAGCUGGCCAGUGUGUAAUUCUUCUGUUUCUAUGCUGUUAGGUCAAAUAGAUCUUCAAUAGUUACUUGAUUGUUAUUACUUUUUUCUGAAGUGGGUGUUUUAUCAAUGUUUUAGGAUACAGUGAGUCUGCUUCUCCCCUUUGGAGUUAGGAAGGUUGUAGGAAUAUACACUGUAGAGCAUAUGGGAGCUUUAUCCCCUCCUUUUUUCCCCGCUACCUUUCUCCCUCUCCUUCCCUUCAUCACAUUUCUAUUGAGCAUAUGCCAUUGCCGUGUACCAGGUGUGUGCUAGGUUUGGAGAUACAAGGUAAACCUGAGACUUUCCCAGUCUCCAGGAGACAAAACCCUAAUUUCUUUCAUCUGCUGUCUUUCUCUUUGGAAAGAAUCAACGAUAUCCCAGGGGAAUGUGCCCAUGUCCCAGGGUAACCAACUACAGACAGAUGCCCCAUUCUACUCAAGCAACUUUUAGAGUGCCUUGAGAUACACAUCAGAUAAUUAUGCAGGGCCAGGCAUGGUGCUGCACACUUGUAAUCACAGCACUUUGGGAGGCCGAGGCAGCAGAUUGCUUGAGCCCAGGAAUUCAAGUGUAGCCUAGGGAACAUGGCAAAACCCCAGCUCUACAAAAAAAUACACAAAUUAGCUGCGUGUGGUGGCCUAUGACAGGAGGCUGAGAUGGGAGGAUUGCUUGAGCCUGUGAGGUCGAGGCUGCAGUGAGCCGAGAUCAUGCCAUUACUCCAGCCUGGGUGACAUAGGGAGACCCUGUCUUGAAAAAAAAAAAAAAAAGAUAAUUAUUCAGCCCUAGAGUCAUUGUGAAAAGAUCUAUCUUCAGAUAUAAGGAAGAAACAAUCUUUUAUUUCUUAGGAUAAAUCUGUAGAAGGACCUCCAGACAGUGAAGGCCACUGACUACUUUAUACUCUGUAAGCCAUCCCUCCCUGGUAGGAAGGACUAUUUCCAAUCUUACAGAGUACCUCUCAGCAAAUAGACGUUUUCACAUAUACUGUGAUUCAUACAUCCCUAUGGCUGGUGACCUCUUUAAAAAGGAAAGGAAAAAGCCUAAUCAAACAAAAAGAUGCUGCUAGUAAUUCUUACCCUAUUGUGAAUCCUAUAUAAGCAAAUUUGUAUCUUUGUUUUUUCCUACAUUAGCAGAUCUAUUUGAUGUAUAUCUCUGAGUGCAGAAAAUAUUUUAUGGAAAAAUCAAUAUAUGGAAUUUCAAAUUCAGAAUUGCUGAUACACACUAUUUGGUUUCACAAUUUUAUCCUAGGAAAUAGUAUUAGAGAUUUCAAUUUCUGGCUUAAAUGGUAGAAUUAAUUACUCUUAACUCUUAAUUUUACUUCUGAGUUGAGGUCAAGGAACAGGCAGACACCUGCAGUUAACGUCUAUACCUCUCCAUGGCCAAGAGUUUUAAUUUUCUCGUCUUCAAUUUUGUAGAUGUUCAUCAUUACUAAAUGGAUUGAUUAGUAUUUUAUCUCCUCUCCUUGUCCUUACUUUCCCUCUGGUAAAUAUGUUAUAAACAGUGUAAGGCUCCUAAGAUAGAGUAGCUGGUAGGACUUAGAAGAGAAACAAAGGGCACUGAUAACUCACAUAAAUGGAAAAUUGGCUCUGGAAUAACUGACAACAUAUUCAAGUAUUUUAGUGCAGUGUCACUCUCAUUAAGAAGAAGAGAAUCAGUAAAUCUAUGUGACUCUAAACAUUCUAAUGAAAAAAGGAAUAUUCUGCCAAUUAUCUCACAUUUCUAAAUAUCUGGAUAUUGGCCAUUGUAAAGACAAAACAUACAGAUGAUGGACUUGUCUUUCCACCUCUCAUUUGCAUGGUUUGGAGCAUUGUACCUCCAGCCAUAGACUCUAAGGCAAUUUAUAUUUGCUUCCUCUUCCCUCUUGAGAGAAAACGAAAAUCUUAUUUUUCCAAGCAAUUAAAACUCUUCUGCUUCAGCUAGGAUGAAAGAAUUAGGAGUUCUGUCUCCUUGUAUCUAAUUGCAUGUUUCAUCUUUCUUGUUUUAAUGAUUGACAGAAAACUAAUAAACUGAGACAUCUUUGAAUCCAGGUUGAAUGUACUCUCUUGGUGGCCCCAUUGCUAAUUUGUUUGACUAUUUUGCAGGAUUUCUUACUCUGUAAUGGAAAGGUUUAUUAAAUAUGAGGGGUGCAAAGCUUUCUGAAUACUAAUGAACUUAUUUGCCAAAAUUUAAAUGUUCUUCUUGUCAGUGAAUGUCUGUCUCUCUUAACAGGAUCCAAAUUGAAUAAUGAAGAAAAUUAGACUCUAUUGUACCCUCAGGAGAAAUCGUGGUGAAUCGUAAUAGAAUACAGAGGGGGAAAGGGGUCACAUUUUAGAAAAAAAGAGUAGAUAAUUUGGAUUAUUAAAAAAGGGAUUAACUCAGGAAAACUCUGUUCUUUUCAAAGAAACGUACUCAUAGUCAUUCAAUGAGCAGGAUUUCCCACUGCACAAGCAUCUAUACCUUUGGCCAGUGUAGAAAGAGAGUAAGGUCAUAAUCAUAUGGAGAUGCAUGCUAGGUUUCAGUAGUUACAAUUUACUAAUCUCAUUCCCAUAUAAGGCCUUUAUAUGCCUGUAAUGGAAUGGGAAAAUCAAUAAGCUUUGAAAAGGAACACUAUUCUUCAGAGAAGUUCAAUGGGAGAUAGUUGAGUUGGGGAAAUUGCCCCAGUUCUUCCUUUAAGCAUGAAAUGAGGCUGUCCCUAUGUAUGUUUACUUCCAUUGCCUUGGUGUUAUCACUGAUAAAGUCAAUGAUCAUGAUGCCUUUGCCUUGGCAGCACCUGGGGGGCACUGAAGGAACCAAGUAGCUGUACUCAUGGCCAGGAAGGCAGGCUGCCAGAACUUCAGCAGCCACACAAGUGGCCAAACAUGGUCAGGAACGAAAGUAGUGUGUGUAUGGAGUGAAAUGAAAUGAUGAGAGGAAAGUGAAGGAUGAUAUAAAGAUGGGGCUGUCCAAAGAUGGGAGUUCAUCCCUGUCCUGCACUUGAAAUAGGAAGGAAAGAACUGGAGAAGGAUUAGGUGAGGAAGGAUCCUGAAAUAGAGAAAAUAAAGGGAAGACUGCAUGCCUGCAGUGUUUGCUAAAAUUAAUUCGCCUGAGAUUUCAGGAGGAGCAAAGAAAGAUCAAGAGAAAGGGAAAACAGCCUCAAAGCCUGUGAAGGUUGAAAAACAAAAUAUAAACAAAAAAUUUUUAAAGCUAAGAUUAUGCUCUUCUAAGAAAAGAGGCUGGACACUAACAGAAAGCUUGAUGACAGCAGGAUUUGUAUUUAGCGGUUUAUUUAGAUCCCUAAGAAAAAAGGCUUAUGUGACAUAGAUUCAUAAGACACAAAUGUGUCCUUGGCUGACCAUACUAGGCUUCACUCCCAAAGGAGAAAAAGAAUGGUCGGCGCAUCUCAGAUUAACACCAACCAACUGUGCAAUAUUUCAUUUUAGAAAGCGUUUCCUUGUAUUAUCCAUGAUUAAAUAAAAAGAGACCUAGUGUAUUUGAUUGCUUCUGUGGCAAGGCUUGAGAAUUACAAACCUAGGUUUCCCUCUGGGAAUGAUCAUUGGAUUUUUAAAAUUAAGUAAGUGGAAGGAGAUUAAGAUUUAUUUCCAUCAUUUCAAAUCAUGAUCUGCACCUUUGGAAACAAAAAGGAAGUUGGAAAGUGGGAAGGUGAGGAUGAAGAAGAUUUAUUUCAAUAAGUCUCAAGAGGUAUUAUGCAAUAUGUAAGUACUUGCAAGAAUCUGCUUAGCCACCUCCAAAAAAAAUUAUUCCUUUUGAUAGAUCAUUUGCUUUCAGAGUGAACUUCCUUCCCUUUUCCAAACACAAACAUGAUCAUAUCGGCGAGUUGAUACCAAAGUUGCUGAAUUUAUAAUGCACACACUUAUUUAUUAUUAAAGCCAAUGUGUAAAUAAAAUCUCCGCUUGGUUGGAAACAAAUUUAAUAGGAAACAUGUGAAAG
rnacentral:lncRNA from 1 species